rnacentral:tRNA from 1 species
GGAGCCGUGGUGCAGCCGGUCUAACACGCCAGCCUGUCAAGCUGGAGAUCGCGGGUUCGAGUCCCGUCGGCUCCGCCA